GAUGAAGAACGCAGCGAAAUGCGAUAAGUAAUGUGAAUUGCAGAAUUCAGUGAAUCAUCGAAUCUUUGAACGCACAUUGCGCCCCCUGGUAUUCCGGGGGGCAUGCCUGUCCGAGCGUCAUUACAACCCUCAGGCCCCCGGGCCUGGCGUUGGGGAUCGGCGGAGCCCCCCGUGGGCACACGCCGUCCCCCAAAUGCAGUGGCGGUCCCGCCGCAGCUUCCAUCGCGUAGUAGCUAACACCUCGCGACUGGAGAGCGGCGCGGCCACGCCGUAAAACACCCAACUCUUCUGAAGUUGACCUCGAAUCAGGUAGGAAUACCCGCUGAACUUAAGCAUAUCAAUAAGCGGAGGA
rnacentral:misc_RNA from 1 species